AGGACGAACGCUGGCGGCGUGCUUAACACAUGCAAGUCGAGCGGAAAGGCCCUUCGGGGUACUCGAGCGGCGAACGGGUGAGUAACACGUGGGCAACCUGCCCCUAGCUCUGGGAUAACUCCGGGAAACCGGGGCUAAUACCGGAUACGAUCUUCCAUGGCAUCUCGGAAGAUGGAAAGUUUUUCGGCUAGGGAUGGGCCCGCGGCCUAUCAGCUUGUUGGUGAGGUAACGGCCCACCAAGGCGACGACGGGUAGCCGGCCUGAGACGGGCGACCGGCCAACGACGUCGGGACUAGAGACACGGCCCAGACUCCGUACGGGAGGCAGCAGUAGGGGAAUAUUGCGCAAGUGGCGAAAGCCUGACGCGAGCGACGACGCGGAGAGGGAAGUCGGAAGGUCCCGUUU
rnacentral:rRNA from 1 species